AUGAACGCUAGCUACAGGCUUAACACAUGCAAGUCGAGGGGCAGCAUGGUCUUAGCUUGCUAAGGCCGAUGGCGACCGGCGCACGGGUGAGUAACACGUAUCCAACCUGCCGUCUACUCUUGGACAGCCUUCUGAAAGGAAGAUUAAUACAAGAUGGCAUCAUGAGUCCGCAUGUUCACAUGAUUAAAGGUAUUCCGGUAGACGAUGGGGAUGCGUUCCAUUAGAUAGUAGGCGGGGUAACGGCCCACCUAGUCUUCGAUGGAUAGGGGUUCUGAGAGGAAGGUCCCCCACAUUGGAACUGAGACACGGUCCAAACUCCUACGGGAGGCAGCAGUGAGGAAUAUUGGUCAAUGGGCGAGAGCCUGAACCAGCCAAGUAGCGUGAAGGAUGACUGCCCUAUGGGUUGUAAACUUCUUUUAUAAAGGAAUAAAGUCGGGUAUGGAUACCCGUUUGCAUGUACUUUAUGAAUAAGGAUCGGCUAACUCCGUGCCAGCAGCCGCGGUAAUACGGAGGAUCCGAGCGUUAUCCGGAUUUAUUGGGUUUAAAGGGAGCGUAGAUGGAUGUUUAAGUCAGUUGUGAAAGUUUGCGGCUCAACCGUAAAAUUGCAGUUGAUACUGGAUAUCUUGAGUGCAGUUGAGGCAGGCGGAAUUCGUGGUGUAGCGGUGAAAUGCUUAGAUAUCACGAAGAACUCCGAUUGCGAAGGCAGCCUGCUAAGCUGCAACUGACAUUGAGGCUCGAAAGUGUGGGUAUCAAACAGGAUUAGAUACCCUGGUAGUCCACACGGUAAACGAUGAAUACUCGCUGUUUGCGAUAUACUGCAAGCGGCCAAGCGAAAGCGUUAAGUAUUCCACCUGGGGAGUACGCCGGCAACGGUGAAACUCAAAGGAAUUGACGGGGGCCCGCACAAGCGGAGGAACAUGUGGUUUAAUUCGAUGAUACGCGAGGAACCUUACCCGGGCUUAAAUUGCAGCGGAAUGUAGUGGAAACAUUACAGCCUUCGGGCCGCUGUGAAGGUGCUGCAUGGUUGUCGUCAGCUCGUGCCGUGAGGUGUCGGCUUAAGUGCCAUAACGAGCGCAACCCUUGUUGUCAGUUACUAACAGGUUCCGCUGAGGACUCUGACAAGACUGCCAUCGUAAGAUGUGAGGAAGGUGGGGAUGACGUCAAAUCAGCACGGCCCUUACGUCCGGGGCUACACACGUGUUACAAUGGGGGGUACAGAGGGCCGCUACCACGCGAGUGGAUGCCAAUCCCCAAAACCUCUCUCAGUUCGGACUGGAGUCUGCAACCCGACUCCACGAAGCUGGAUUCGCUAGUAAUCGCGCAUCAGCCACGGCGCGGUGAAUACGUUCCCGGGCCUUGUACACACCGCCCGUCAAGCCAUGGGAGCCGGGGGUACCUGAAGUGCGUAACCGCGAGGAGCGCCCUAGGGUAAAACUGGUGACUGGGGCU
rnacentral:rRNA from 1 species